CGAGGUGGAGCAAAUCCCAAAAANAAACGUCUCAGUUCGGAUUGUAGUCUGCAACUCGACUACAUGAAGCUGGAAUCGCUAGUAAUCGCGAAUCAGAAUGUCGCGGUGAAUACGUUCCCGGGUCUUGUACACACCGCCCGUCACACCAUGGGAGUCAGCAACGCCCGAAGCCGGUGACCCAACCGAAAGGAGGGAGCCGUCGAAGGUGGGGCCGAUAACUGGGGUGAAGUCGUAACAAGGUAAC
rnacentral:rRNA from 1 species